rnacentral:tRNA from 1 species
GCCGGCGUAGCUCACCAGGUAGAGCACCGACCUUGUAACUCGGAGGCAACCGGUUCGAGCCCGGUCGCCGGCUCCA